rnacentral:rRNA from 1 species
UGCGGAGGAUCAUUAACGAAUAUAAUUCGAGGGGUUGUCGCUGGCCUCGCUCGCGCGAGGCAUGUGCACGCUUCUUGUUUUUCUCUCAACUCACCUGUGCACCUAAUGUAGGAUGCCUCUCCUCCGGGAGGGGGGACCUAUGUCUUCGUAACAUCUUCGUGUAGAAAGUCUUUGAAUGUUUACUAUCAUCGAGUCGCGACUUCUAGGAGACGCGGUUCUUUGAGAUAAAAGUUAUUACAACUUUCAGCAACGGAUCUCUUGGCUCUCGCAUCGAUGAAGAACGCAGCGAAAAGCGAUAUGUAAUGUGAAUUGCAGAUCUACAGUGAAUCAUCGAAUCUUUGAACGCACCUUGCGCUCCUCGGUGUUCCGAGGAGCAUGCCUGUUUGAGUGUCAGUAAAUUCUCAACCCCUCUCGAUUAGCUUCGAGAGGGCGCUUGGAUAGUGGAGGUUGCCGGAGACUUGGAUUCGUCCGAGACUCGGGCUCUUCUGAAAUGCAUCGGCUUGCGGUCGACUUUCGACUAUGUGCGACAAGGCUUUCGGCGUGAUAAUGAUCGCCGUUCGCUGAAGCGCAUGACUGAACGUCCCGUGCCUCUAAUACGUCGACCGCUUAUUAUCUCUCCGGAGAGAACAGGGUCUUCCUUAUUGACUUUUGACCUCAAAUCAGGUAGGACUACCCGCUGAACUUAAGCAUAUCAAUA